rnacentral:rRNA from 1 species
UGGGGAAUAUUGGACAAUGGGCGCAAGCCUGAUCCAGCAAUGCCGCGUGGGUGAAGAAGGUCUUCGGAUUGUAAAGCCCUUUCGGCGGGGACGAUGAUGACGGUACCCGCAGAAGAAGCCCCGGCUAACUUCGUGCCAGCAGCCGCGGUAAUACGAAGGGGGCUAGCGUUGCUCGGAAUUACUGGGCGUAAAGGGCGCGUAGGCGGCGCUGCAAGUCAGGCGUGAAAUUCCUGGGCUUAACCUGGGGGCUGCGCUUGAGACUGUAGUGCUAGAGGACGGAAGAGGGUCGUGGAAUUCCCAGUGUAGAGGUGAAAUUCGUAGAUAUUGGGAAGAACACCGGUGGCGAAGGCGGCGACCUGGUCCGUUACUGACGCUGAGGCGCGACAGCGUGGGGAGCAAACAGG